CUGGGUUUGACAUGCACCAGACGCGUUCAGAGAUGGGCGUUCCCUUGUGGUUGGUGUGCAGGUGGUGCAUGGCUGUCGUCAGCUCGUGUCGUGAGAUGUUGGGUUAAGUCCCGCAACGAGCGCAACCCUCGUUCCAUGUUGCCAGCGCGUGAUGGCGGGGACUCAUGGGAGACUGCCGGGGUCAACUCGGAGGAAGGUGGGGAUGACGUCAAGUCAUCAAGCCCCUUAUGUCCAGGGCUUCACACAUGCUACAAUGGCUCAUACAGAGGGCUGCGAGACCGUGAGGUGGAGCGAAUCCCUUAAAGUGGGUCUCAGUUCGGAUCGGGGUCUGCAACUCGACCCCGUGAAGUCGGAGUCGCUAGUAAUCGCAGAUCAGCAAUGCUGCGGUGAAUA
rnacentral:rRNA from 1 species